CCAAUAGCGUAUAUUAAAGUUGUUGCAGUUAAAAAGCUCGUAGUUGAAUUUUAGAUCUGGCCGGGCGGUCCGUCUUUGGCGAGUACUGUCCUGUGUCGGGUCUUCCUUCUGGUGAACCAGUAUGUCCUUUAUUGGGUGUACUGUGGAGCCAGGACCAUUACCUUGAAAAAAUUAGAGUGUUUAAAGCGGGCUAUUGCUUGAAUAGAUUAGCAUGGAAUAAUAGAAUAGGACGUUGUGGUUCUAUUUUGUUGGUUUCUAGGACCACCGUAAUGAUUAAUAGGGAUAGUUGGGGGCAUUAGUAUUCAAUUGUCAGAGGUGAAAUUCUUGGAUUUAUUGAAGACUAACUACUGCGAAAGCAUUUGCCAAGGAUGUUUUCAUUAAUCAAGAACGAAAGUUAGGGGAUCGAAGACGAUCAGAUACCGUCGUAGUCUUAACCAUAAACUAUGCCGACUAGGAAUCGGGCGACGUUAUUUUAAUGACUCGCUCGGCGCCUUAUG
rnacentral:rRNA from 1 species